rnacentral:misc_RNA from 1 species
GUGAAUCAUCGAAUCUUUGAACGCACCUUGCGCUCUUUGGUAUUCCGAAGAGCAUGCUUGUUUGAGUGUCAUUAAAUUCUCAACCCAUCCAGCUUUGAUAAGUUGGCGUGUGGCUUGGAUUGUGGGAGUUGUGCUGGCAUUGAUAAAAAGUCAGCUCUCCUGAAAUGCAUUAGCGGAACGGUUUGCGGUCUGUCACUGGUGUGAUAAUUAUCUACGCCAAAGAACGCUCUCUGUCUGUUCAGCUUCUAAUGGUCCCGUCAUGUGGACAACCUUUUGAAUGUUUGACCUCAAAUCAAGUAGGACUACCCGCUGAACUUAAGCAUAUCAAUAAGCGGAGGA